AUCAGGUAUGGAGGAGGCCUUGCAGAUGCGCCGCUCCAAUCACCUCUGAAAUGGAAUUACGGAGCUCUUCACAGCUUGGUGGCAUUUCAACGCUUUCGGCGGUAAAAAAAAAAAAAAGGAGAAGUGGGGCUUAGACAGCAUGGGGACCAUCUGGGAACAUGCUGGAAAAGAUUUAAUUGAGGACACGAGGGUGAGAGAUGAGGCCUCGGUGGAAAAUCAGGUCCCGAGGACCCGGGGAAAGCUGCAUCUCGGCUGCUGACGAUUCCAUUUAUAUCUGUCAUGUUUGGAUGCCGAGAGGAGGGAAGAGACGACGUGUUUAUCCGACGAUGGAUGACUGAUGGCGGAAGUCAAGAGCAGCCGAGUGAGGCAAAGUGGAUUGAAAGAAUGCACAGAGUGCACACGUUUUUUCUCUCCAUUUUGCAUUUUGUAUUGUUUAUUAGCAUCAAGCUCGGCGGACUUGACCAAGCUACAUGUUUGCUUUAAAUACAUAAUAAUAUGCAAUUUGUUUUUAUGUUAACCUCAAUUGGAAAAAAUAUUUUGUAUUUGAUUACCGUAUUUUCCGGCCUAUAAGGCGCACCGGACUAUAAGGCGCACCUAUUGAUUGUUUGAAUUUUUUGCCUUCUUGUUUUUAUAUUGUGUCGCGUACUUGUAUGUCUAUCGUGUUAUGUGUCUCGUCACCGUUAGGGAUAGAGAAAAACGUAAUUUCGGUCUCUUUGUGUGUUGUGACGUGGAGAGAUUGACAAUAAAGCUGACUUUGACUUUGA